rnacentral:rRNA from 1 species
UGGAUCCAGACUUUGAUCCUGGCUCAGGAUGAACGCUGGCGGCGUGCUUAACACAUGCAAGUCGAACGAAGCACUGUGGACAGAGUCUUCGGACAAUAGAAACAGUAACUGAGUGGCGGACGGGUGAGUAACGCGUGGGUAACCUGCCUCAUACAGGGGGAUAACAGUUAGAAAUGACUGCUAAUACCGCAUAAGCGCACGAUACCGCAUGGUAUUGUGUGAAAAACUCCGGUGGUAUGAGAUGGACCCGCGUCUGAUUAGCUAGUUGGUAGGGUAAUGGCCUACCAAGGCAACGAUCAGUAGCCGACCUGAGAGGGUGACCGGCCACAUUGGGACUGAGACACGGCCCAAACUCCUACGGGAGGCAGCAGUGGGGAAUAUUGCACAAUGGGCGAAAGCCUGAUGCAGCGACGCCGCGUGAGCGAAGAAGUAUUUCGGUAUGUAAAGCUCUAUCAGCAGGGAAGAAAAUGACGGUACCUGACUAAGAAGCACCGGCUAAAUACGUGCCAGCAGCCGCGGUAAUACGUAUGGUGCAAGCGUUAUCCGGAUUUACUGGGUGUAAAGGGAGCGUAGACGGUUGUGUAAGUCUGAUGUGAAAACCCGGGGCUCAACCCCGGGACUGCAUUGGAAACUAUGCAGCUAGAGUGCCGGAGAGGUAAGCGGAGUUCCUAGUGUAGCGGUGGAAUGCGUAGAUAUUAGGAGGAACACCAGUGGCGAAGGCGGCUUACUGGACGGUAACUGACGUUGAGGCUCGAAAGCGUGGGGAGCAAACAGGAUUAGAUACCCUGGUAGUCCACGCCGUAAACGAUGACUACUAGGUGUCGGGUAACAAAGUUAUUCGGUGCCGCAGCCAACGCAAUAAGUAGUCCACCUGGGGAGUACGUUCGCAAGAAUGCAACUAAAAGGAAUUGACGGA